rnacentral:rRNA from 1 species
CCUACGGGAGGCAGCAGUGGGGAAUUCUUCGCAAAGGGNGAAANCCUGACGGAGNGACGCCGCGUGGGGGCCGAAGGCCUUCGGGUUGUAAACCCCUKUYRGAGGGAAAGAAGGGUGUCGGCACGAUAACUGCCUACAUCUGACGGUUCCUUCGGAGGAAGCCCCGGNUAANUCUGUGCCAGCAGCCGCGGUAAU